rnacentral:rRNA from 1 species
GACGAACGCUGGCGGCGUGCUUAACACAUGCAAGUCGAACGAAGUGGCGAACGGGUGAGUAACGCGUAAUCAACCCGCCCUGCAGAGGGGGACAACAGUUGGAAACGACUGCUAAUACCGCAUACUGAAGGAGGGGAUUGCGUCUGAUUAGCUAGUUGGGGGGGUAACGGGCCACAAAGGCGAGGAUCAGUAGACGGGCUGAGAGGAUGGACUGCCACAUUGGGACUGAGACAAGGCCCCGACUCCUACGGGAGGGAGCAGUGGGGAAACGUCCGCCAUGGGCGGAAGUCUGACGGAGGAACGCCGGGUGGGUGAUGACAGCCUUCGGGUUGUAAAGCUCUGUUAAUCGGGAAGCGGUACCGAAAUAGAAAGCAACGGCUAACUACGUGCCAGCAGCCGCGGUAAUUC